rnacentral:rRNA from 1 species
UACGUAGGUGGCAAGCGUUGUCCGGAUUUAUUGGGUUUUAAAGGGUGCGUAGGCGGCAUUUUAAGUCAGUGGUGAAAUACUUCAGCUUAACUGGAGAGGUGCCAUUGAUACUGGGAUGCUUGAGUACUGAUGAGGUAGGCGGAAUGGACGGUGUAGCGGUGAAAUGCUUAGAUAUCGUCCAGAACACCGAUAGCGAAGGCAGCUUACUAAGGAGUAACUGACGCUGAGGCACGAAAGUGUGGGGAUCAAACAGG